UACAGAGGUCUCAAGCGUUGUUCGGAUUCAUUGGGCGUAAAGGGUGCGUAGGUGGCGCGCUAAGUCAGGUGUGAAAUUUCGGAGCUUAACUCCGAAACUGCAUUCGAUACUGCCGUGCUUGAGGACUGGAGAGGAGACUGGAAUUUACGGUGUAGCGGUGAAAUGCGUAGAUAUCGUAAGGAAGACCAGUGGAGCGAAGGCGGGUCUCUGGACAGUUCCUGACGCUGAGGCACGAAGGCCGGGGAGCAAACGGG
rnacentral:rRNA from 1 species